AACCAACGCUGGCGGCAUGCCUAACACAUGCCAGUCGAACGAUGCCUUCGGGCAUAGUGGCGCACGGGUGCGUAACGCGUGGGAAUCUGCCUUUCGGUUCGGAAUAACUCAGGGAAACUUGAGCUAAUACCGGAUAACGUCGCAAGACCAAAGAUUUAUCACCGAAAGAUGAGCCCGCGUAGGAUUAGCUAGUUGGUGAGGUAAAGGCUCACCAAGGCGACGAUCCUUAGCUGGUCUGAGAGGAUGAUCAGCCACACUGGGACUGAGACACGGCCCAGACUCCUACGGGAGGCAGCAGUGGGGAAUAUUGGACAAUGGGCGAAAGCCUGAUCCAGCAAUGCCGCGUGAGUGAUGAAGGCCUUAGGGUUGUAAAGCUCUUUUACCCGGGAAGAUAAUGACGGUACCGGGAGAAUAAGCCCCGGCUAACUCCGU
rnacentral:rRNA from 1 species